UACGUAGGGAGCAAGCGUUGUCCGGAAUCAUUGGGCGUAAAGCGCGCGUAGGUGGCCCCGUAAGUCCGCUGUGAAAGUCAAAGGCUCAACCUUUGAAAGCCGGUGGAUACUGUGGGACUAGAGUACGGAAGAGGCGAGUGGAAUUCCUGGUGUAGCGGUGGAAUGCGCAGAUAUCAGGAGGAACACCAAUAGCGAAGGCAGCUCGCUGGGACGUUACUGACAAUGAGGCGCGAAAGCGUGGGGAGCGAACAGG
rnacentral:rRNA from 1 species